rnacentral:lncRNA from 1 species
UUCAAAAGAAAAAAAAUUGUUCUCAACAAUAGGAAAAGUAAUGGAUAUGGGACCUGUGAUUCCUUUUUAAAUCAAGACCCGUGAAAGUUGACUCCAAGAGUGUCCCUUAUCUCUCACCUGGAAAGCUUGGUGUGAAGCAGUGGUCUGCGGAUGUCUGCUCUUUGAGGAACAGCCUAGAACAGGGAAACAGUGGUCUGAAACAGUCUCCCAGAUGCCGCCCUCCCCCACCAGUCGACGUCCUUUAUCUUCCAUACCUGGACAGUGGCCACAGUCCUUUCUGAACCCUUGCAGGGACCCAUGACCUCGCCUGAAACACUCUGACUCCGACCCGCAGGUCUAUGGGCAUUGCCAAGAUCCGCUGGCCCGGAAUUCAGCUCCGUUGAGCUUAGGGACUGAGUCUCCAGCAGCCCUUUGGACUUUGCGUGCAUCCCACGCUGCAACUCCUGCGUGGAAUAAUCUUUUCUCAAGUCCUCACCAGUGGGCCCACCGCUCCAACCUACGCGAUGUAAUUUGCCUGGCUCAGAGAAGCAGCACUGCCGCUGCUGGCUGGAGAGACGCCCCCGGCCAGCAGCAGCUAGCGCUGGGACAGCGGUGCGCGCCGGCUCCUCUUCUCCCAGCUCCUGGCUGCUGGAGGCGGAGCGCACGUGCGCCGUGGGAAGUCGCGUGGGGACUGCGGGACGCAGGCGGCCCGGCAGGCUCAUGCGAAACUCCUUUCGCUGGAAGGACGUCUCCCGCAGCACUCGUCGCUGUGCACCCUGCAACCGCUGGCGGUAGGCGUCCCGCGAGGCUGGCGGGCUGGGCGGCUCUGCGGUGUGAGCUGUAGCUUCAGCCUCCGCGGCCAGCGCGUACAGCAGUGGGGUGUCUUGUCUGUUUAGUGGUCCCGGGCUUCCCUGGACCUCUGGGGACCGUGGGUCACUGUGCCCAGCGACUGCCUGCACAGGUCGCUGAGUCGUUGAAAGGACAGCGUCCUUCGAGGUAGGAGAUUGGCUGCCCCAAACCACUCGCACGUAGUCCCAGUCUAGGUAAGGGAGGCGCUCGGUGCCAGGGGACGGAGUGCGCGUCUCAGGAUCACCAGACGCCGUGGAGAAAGAGCUGUAGGCAGAGUCGGCGCGCGUGGACAACCGUCGCAAGUCCAGGCUUUCAGUGGCUGAGGCCUGGGAGAUGAGAACCCCGCGGUUCUGAGGAGGAAGUGACCCGGCCCAGAGACACACACAGGUCGUAAGUGGCAGAGCCCUGCCUAGAAUCGAGGCAUGUCUCCAAGUUCACUGCAGCCAAAAUUAAUUUCCUAGAGGCAAACCCUGGCCAAAGCCCUUGCCAUGGUCCCUCUUUCUCCAAGAAAACCCACAGUCAAAGUGUGAAAUAAGUCAACUUCAAGUGCCAUAAAUUCCAUAAUAAUACAUUGGGUGGGCCCGCAACUAUGUCUUCUGUCUAGGGAGCUUCAUCAGACACCCAC